rnacentral:rRNA from 1 species
UCCUACGGGAGGCAGCAGUAGGGAAUAUUGGACAAUGGGCGCAAGCCUGAUCCAGCCAUGCCGCGUGAGUGAAGAAGGCCUUCGGGUUGUAAAGCUCUUUUGUCCGGAAAGAAAAGCUUCGGGUCAAUACCCCGGAGUCCUGACGGUACCGGAAGAAUAAGCACCGGCUAACUUCGUGCCAGCAGCCGCGGUAAUACGAAGGGUGCAAGCGUUACUCGGAAUUACUGGGCGUAAAGCGUGCGUAGGUGGUUUGUUAAGUCUGAUGUGAAAGCCCUGGGCUCAACCUGGGAAUGGCAUUGGAUACUGGCAGGCUAGAGUGCGGUAGAGGGUAGUGGAAUUCCCGGUGUAGCAGUGAAAUGCGUAGAGAUCGGGAGGAACAUCUGUGGCGAAGGCGACUACCUGGACCAGCAAAGACAAAGAGGCACGAAAGGAAGGGGAGCGAACAGGGGGAGAGAGCGAGGGAGUGCAAGACGGGAAAGGAGCGGCCCGGGGCCCGGGGGGGAACCCCCCCCCCUGG